rnacentral:rRNA from 1 species
GACGAACGCUGGCGGCGUGCUUAACACAUGCAAGUCGUACGGUAAGGCCCUUUCGGGGGUACACGAGUGGCGAACGGGUGAGUAACACGUGAGUAACCUGCCCACAACUUAGGGAUAACGCUAGGAAACUGGUGCUAAUACUGGAUAUGUGCUCCUGCUGCAUGGUGGGGGUUGGAAAGCUCCGGCGGUUGUGGAUGGACUCGCGGCCUAUCAGCUUGUUGGUGGGGUAGUGGCCUACCAAGGCGGCGACGGGUAGCCGGCCUGAGAGGGUGACCGGCCACAUUGGGACUGAGAUACGGCCCAGACUCCUACGGGAGGCAGCAGGGGGGAAUAUUGCACAAUGGGCGCAAGCCUGAUGCAGCAACGCCGCGUGCGGGAUGACGGCCUUCGGGUUGUAAACCGCUUUCAGCAGGGACGAAGCUUUUUGUGACGGUACCUGCAGAAGAAGCACCGGCUAACUACGUG